CUAGUUGUGCUUAUGAGGUCCUUUAAGUUUUGUAAUUGUGUAAUUUUGAGUCCUCUCUUAAAUAUGUGAGUGAUUGUGUUGAUGCCGCACUGGAUGGAUGAUGUGACAGUUGAGGGUAUUUGGCACGAAGCAUUUCGAUGAUUUGCGACCAGUGAGCUACUGUGCUUGAACAAAUAAGCCUGCCAGAUGUCUUGGGAUCCUCCAUAGCCAACAAUAUCAAGAGCAGUGUGCUGGUUGGCUGUGGUGCAAGCAUGGGACCAACGACGAAAGAGGGAUUAACCACCACUAGAUCCAUGCCAUUUUCUUUCGCAAUCCUCC